rnacentral:rRNA from 1 species
UACGUAGGGUCCGAGCGUUUGUCCGGAAUUACUGGGCGUAAAGAGCUCGUAGGUGGUUUGUCGCGUUGUUCGUGAAAACUCACAGCUUAACUGUGGGCGUGCGGGCGAUACGGGCAGACUUGAGUACUGCAGGGGAGACUGGAAUUCCUGGUGUAGCGGUGAAAUGCGCAGAUAUCAGGAGGAACACCGGUGGCGAAGGCGGGUCUCUGGGCCGAUAUUGACGCUGAGGAGCGAAAGCGUGGGGAGCGAACAGG